rnacentral:rRNA from 1 species
AGAACCUACCUCAUGGAGGGGGAUAACAACGCGAAAGUGUUGCUAAUACCCCAAAGGCUGAGGAGCUAAACGGUAAAUACCGCCAAGAGAGGGGCUUGCGUCUGAUUAGCUAGUUGGGGGGGUAAUGGCUUCCCAAGGCCACGAUCAGUAGCUGGUCUGAGAGGAUGAUCAGCCACACUGGGACUGAGAAACGGCCCAGACUCCUACGGGAGGCAGCAGUGAGGAAUUUUCCGCAAUGGGCGAAAGCCUGACGGAGCAAUGCCGCGUGGAGGAAGACGGUCCGUGGAUUGUAAACUCCUUUUCUCAGAGAAGAAGAUCUGACGUAUCUGAGGAAUAAGCAACGGCUAACUCUGUGCCAGCAGCCGCGGUAAGACAGAGGUUGCAAGCGUUAUCCGGAAUGAUUGGGCGUAAAGCGUCUGUAGGUGGUUUCUGAAGUCUACUGUCAAAUACCAGGGCUUAACUUUGGACAGGCAGUGGAGUACUCAGAGGCUAGAGUUCGGUAGAGGCAGAGGGAAUUCCCGGUGGAGCGGUGAAAUGCAUAGAGAUCGGGAAGAACACCAGUGGCGAAAGCGCUCUGCUGGGCCGAAACUGACACUGAGAGACGAAAGCUAAGGGAGCGAAAAGGGAUUAGAUACCCCUGUAGUC